rnacentral:rRNA from 1 species
GGGUCAGUAGGUCGGUCGUGCCACCGGUACGUACUGGUCUCACUGAUUCCUCCUUCCUGAAGAACCGUAAUGCCAUUAAUUUGGUGUUGCGGGGAAACAGGACUGUUACCUUGAAAAAAUUAGAGUGUUUAAAGCAAGCUAACGCUUGAAUACAUUAGCAUGGAAUAAUGAAAUAGGACGAUCGAUCCUAUUUUGUUGGUUUCUAGGAUUGACGUA